rnacentral:rRNA from 1 species
AUAUCAAUAAGCGGAGGAAAAGAAACCAACAGGGAUUGCCCCAGUAACGGCGAGUGAAGCGGCAACAGCUCAAAUUUGAAAUCUGGCUCUCGGGCCCGAGUUGUAAUUUGUAGAGGAUGCUUUUGGUGAGGUGCCUUCCGAGUUCCCUGGAACGGGACGCCAUAGAGGGUGAGAGCCCCGUCUGGUUGGACACCGAUCCUCUGUAAAGCUCCUUCGACGAGUCGAGUAGUUUGGGAAUGCUGCUCUAAAUGGGAGGUAUAUGUCUUCUAAAGCUAAAUACCGGCCAGAGACCGAUAGCGCACAAGUAGAGUGAUCGAAAGAUGAAAAGAACUUUGAAAAGAGAGUUAAACAGUACGUGAAAUUGUUGAAAGGGAAGCGCUUGUGACCAGACUUGGGCUUGGUUGAUCAUCCGGGGUUCUCCCCGGUGCACUCUUCCGGCUCAGGCCAGCAUCAGUUCGCCCUGGGGGAUAGAGGCUUCGGGAAUGUGGCUCUCUCCGGGGAGUGUUAUAGCCCGCUGCGUAAUACCCUGUGGCGGACUGAGGUUCGCGCAUUCGCAAGGAUGCUGGCGUAAUGGUCAUCAGUGA